rnacentral:tRNA from 1 species
CGCGGGGUGGAGCAGUCCGGUAGCUCGUCGGGCUCAUAACCCGAAGGUCGCUUGUUCAAAUCAAGCCCCCGCUACCA